rnacentral:rRNA from 1 species
AGCGGCGGACGGGUGAGUAACACGUGGGUAACCUGCCCAAGAGACUGGGAUAACACCUGGAAACAGAUGCUAAUACCGGAUAACAACACUAGACGCAUGUCUAGAGCUUGAAAGAUGGUUCUGCUAUCACUCUUGGAUGGACCUGCGGUGCAUUAGCUAGUUGGUAAGGUAACGGCUUACCAAGGCAAUGAUGCAUAGCCGAGUUGAGAGACUGAUCGGCCACAUUGGGACUGAGACACGGCCCAAACUCCUACGGGAGGCAGCAGUAGGGAAUCUUCCACAAUGGACGAAAGUCUGAUGGAGCAACGCCGCGUGAGUGAAGAAGGGUUUCGGCUCGUAAAGCUCUGUUGGUAGUGAAGAAAGAUAGAGGUAGUAACUGGCCUUUAUUUGACGGUAAUUACUUAGAAAGUCACGGCUAACUACGUGCCAGCAGCCGCGGUAAUACGUAGGUGGCAAGCGUUGUCCGGAUUUAUUGGGCGUAAAACGAGUGCAGGCGGUUCAAUAAGUCUGAUGUGAAAGCCUUCGGCUCAACCGGAGAAUUGCAUCAGAAACUGUUGAACUUGAGUGCAGAAGAGGAGAGUGGAACUCCAUGUGUAGCGGUGGAAUGCGUAGAUAUAUGGAAGAACACCAGUGGCGAAAGCGGCUCUCUGGUCUGCAACUGACGCUGAGGCUCGAAAGCAUGGGUAGCGAACAGGAUUAGAUACCCUGGGUAGUCCAUGCCGUAAACGAUGAGUGCUAAGUGU